UUGCUUAAAAUUGACUUGGCCAAGGCUUUUGAUCGCCUUGAAUGGAACUUCAUAGUCUCCGCUCUUUCUCGCAAAGGGUUGCAUGGUCAUUUUAUAAACUUGGUUUAUGCUUGCAUCUCUUCCCCAAGUUUCUCCGUCAUUAUCAAUGGUCAACCUUUCGCCAACUUCCGUAGUAACAGAGGUAUAAUACAAGGAUGUCCUUUCUCACCUUAUCUUUUUGUCCUUGCUAUUAAUGAACUUUACAUGAUGCUAUGGUCCAAAAUUGCUUGUCUGGGAUCUCUCUUGGUCCAGGCUGUCCUCCUAUUCACUCUAUGCUUUUUGCUGAUGAUUUGUUGGUCUGUGGCAAUGCUACGGUGCAAGAGGCUAACCAGAUGGCCAAUCUCAUCAACCGUUUCUGUUGUCUCUCUGGGCAGACUCUGA
rnacentral:rRNA from 1 species